rnacentral:rRNA from 1 species
UUAAGCUAUAAAGAGCAUAGGGUGGAUGCCUAGGCACUGAGAGCCGACGAAAGACGUGAUAAGCUGCGAUAAGCUGCGGUAAGGAGCAAAUAUCCAUUGACCCGCAGAUUUCUGAAUGGGGAAACCUACGCAAGAAGACCUUGCGUACUCAUACAUGAAUACAUAGUGUAUGAGAGGGAACCCGGGGAACUGAAACAUCUAAGUACCCGGAGGAAGAGAAAGAAACAUCGAUUUCCUGAGUAGCGGCGAGCGAAAGGGAAAGAGCCCAAACCAGAGGAUUUAUCCUUUGGGGUUAGGACUGCAUAAUUGAUCUGCAAUUGAUAGGAGAACGGUCUGGGAAGUCCGGCGAGAAAGCGUGAAAGCCGCGUAUCCGAAAUCGAAAGCAGCAAGGCAGGAUCCAGAGUACCACGAGACACGAGAAACCUUGUGGGAAUGAGCGGAGACCACUCCGUAAGGCUAAAUACUACUCAGUGACCGAUAGCGCAUAGUACUGUGAAGGAAAGGUGAAAAGGACCCCGGGAGGGGAGUGAAAGAGAACCUGAAACCCUGUGUUUACAAGCUGUCGAAGCACGCAAGUGCGACGGCGUACUUUUUGUAGAACGGUCCGGCGAGUUAUGAUGAGUGGUAAGGUUAAGGACUUAAGGUCCGGAGCCGAAGCGAAAGCGAGUGUUAAAAGCACGGUUGAAUCGCUUAUCAUAGACCCGAAACCGGGUGAUCUAUCCAUGUCCAGGUUGAAGCUGCCGUAAGAGGUAGUGGAGGACCGAACACACAUCCGUUGAAAAGGGUGGUGAUGAGGUGUGGAUAGGGGAGAAAUUCCAAUCGAACCCGGAGAUAGCUGGUUCUCCUCGAAAUAGCUUUAGGGCUAGCCUCUGGUUAGUCUGCCGCAGGUAGAGCACUGAAUUUCCUAGGGGGCGUCAAAGCCUACCGAAGAAUAUCAAACUGCGAAUGGCGGACAGAUGAUGCCAGGGAGUCAGACUGCACGAGAUAAGUUGGGUGGUCAAAAGGGAAAGAGCCCAGACCUACAGCUAAGGUCCCAAAGUGUGUGUUAAGUGGAAAAGGAUGUGGGAUUUCGAAGACAACUAGGAUGUUGGCUCAGAAGCAGCCACACAUUAAAAGAGUGCGUAAUAGCUCACUAGUCGAGAGGUCCUGCGCCGAAAAUGUCCGGGGCUAAAACACAACACCGAAGCUUAGGAAUUCUAAUGAAUUGGUAGAGGAGCAUUGAAGACGGAACGAAGCCAUACCGAAAGGAAUGGUGGACUGUCUUGAAGAGAGAAUGCCGGAAUGAGUAGCGAGAUUGAAGUGAGAAUCUUCAAGGCCGAAUAUCUAAGGUUUCCAGGGUAAAGCUGAUCUGCCCUGGGUAAGUCGGGGCCUAAGGCAAGGUCGAAAGACGUAGUCGAUGGAUAACAGGUUGAAAUUCCUGUACUGCAUCAAAUCAGAAAUGUGGGGACACAUGAGGGAAGCAUGAGCCGGAAAAGGAAAGUCCGGUACAAGCGCAGCAGAGGACAGAUAGGCAAAACCGUCUGUCAACUCGAGGGCGUGAUGUGGAGCGAACCAAAGUAGCGAAGCAUGUGGAGCUUGUGUCGAGAAAAGCCGCUAUUGUGUUUGAUGUACCCGUACCGUAAACCGACACAGGUGGAUGAGGAGAGAAUCCUAAGGCCGGCGGGAGAAGCAUUGUUAAGGAACUCGGCAAAAUGACCCCGUAACUUCGGGAGAAGGGGUGCUCCAGAGAUGGAGCCGCAGAGAACUGGCCCAAGCAACUGUUUAGCAAAAACACAGGUCUAUGCAAAACCGAAAGGUGAGGUAUAUGGGCUGACGCCUGCCCGGUGCUGGAAGGUUAAGAGGAGAUGUUAGCCGCAAGGUGAAGCAUUGAAUUUAAGCCCCAGUAAACGGCGGCCGUAACUAUAACGGUCCUAAGGUAGCGAAAUUCCUUGUCGGGUAAGUUCCGACCC